rnacentral:rRNA from 1 species
UACGUAGGGUGCAAGCGUUAAUCGGAAUUACUGGGCGUAAAGCGUGCGCAGGCGGUUUUGUAAGUCUGUCGUGAAAUCCCCGGGCUCAACCUGGGAAUUGCGAUGGAGACUGCAAGGCUAGAAUCUGGCAGAGGGGGGUAGAAUUCCACGUGUAGCAGUGAAAUGCGUAGAGAUGUGGGAGGAACACCGAUGGCGAAGGCAGCCCCCUGGGUCAAGAUUGACGCUCAUGCACGAAA